rnacentral:rRNA from 1 species
GACGAACGCUGGCGGCGUGCUUAACACAUGCAAGUCGAACGGAACGGCCCUGCUUUUGUGGGGUGCUCGAGUUGCGACCGGGUGAGUAACACGUGAGUAACCUGCCCUUGACUUUGGGAUAACUUCAGGAAACUGGGGCUCAUACCGGAUAGGAGCUCUCGCUGCAUGGUGGGGGUUGGAAAGUUUCGGCGGUUGGGCAUGGACUCGCGUCUUAUCAGCUUGUUGGGGGGGUAGUGGCUUACCAUGGCAUUGCGCGGUAGCCGAGCUGGGAGGGGGACCGGCCAAACUGGGAUUGAGAUACGGCCCGGACUCGAACGGGAGGCGGAGGUGGAGAAUAGUAUACAAGGGGAGGGAGCCAAGUGCGACAACGCCGCGUGCGGGAAGACGGCCAGCGGGUUGGAUACCGCAUUCGCCUUUGACGGAACGUUAGUGACAGUAAUGGGUAAAGAAGCACCGGCUAACUACGUG